UGGGGAGUGCGUAACACCUUCCCCCCGAGUCAAAUGAACCCCCUUACCUGAAUCUCUGGUGCAAACUUAGUUUUGGAGUCCAAAGUGUUUUAAAAGGGAAAAAUUAUUUCUAAAAAAUGGUGACAUGGCACACCGAAACCAAUGUCAGGUGGCGACUCUGAAAAAUCCUUUUGAACACAAUUUUGUCACUUUUUAAUUAAAAACCCUUUUUGGGCUUACAAAUCCUUUUAUUAUUUUAAAAGGGUUAGUGAGGUUGUAAAAAGGGGUAUGACAUCUCUGGCGACUCCACUGGGGAGUUCCAGGUUCGAGCUGGUACUUGAUCUUGUUGGCUUUUAGGAUAUUCGUUUGAGGUGUUUGUUUUUUUAUUUGAUUUGUUUAUUUGGUUUAUUUGUCUUAUUUUCUUGUUUUGUUGGUCAUUUGUUUAUCGCUUUUCUUAUGUGUUACUGCUUUAUAAACUGUCAUCAUUUGUAUAACCAUGGGUCUUCUUUCUGCAACAAAUCUUCCGGAAUGCGUUUGAGCGUACACGGCCUUUUGUGAGUCACCCGUGUCUUUAGGGGGGGUGGCGUGGGAGCGUGGAGUGGGCGGACAACUAGAGCAGCCGCCAUCGACCACGUGCCGCCCCGAAUUGCCUUGUAUAGUGAACCCAAAACUUAGGUUAGCAUGUAGGUCAUUCUUAUUUGCAUCAUGUCAUUUGGACCUAGUAAGGCUCGGUCCUAGGUACCGUGUCUCUUUGUAGAAAGCCUAUCCAAAUUUUGUCAAAAAUGGGUGUGUGGCACAAAAAGACAUCCAAUCAUCCCUAUGUGAUACAUGUUGCAUCUUUAAGGGUAAAAAAGUCAUUUGGCGGACCGAUAUUUGGGAAAGAAGGGUGGAAAAUGAAGCAAGUAGGGCCCAAUUACUUUUUUCUUUCACAACCCUUUUCAAGAAAAAAAAAACAAAACAAUUUGAAAAUGAAAAAUCCAAAAAGAUUUUGCACUUUCCCAUCAUUUUCCAAAAAUCAAAAAAAAAAUCCAAAAGAUUUUACAUUUUCCAUCAUUUUUUCAAAAAGACAAAAAACUAUAGUUUUUCCAAAUUAGUUGCAUUUUUUAAGCUUUCUCCCGUGUCCGAUCUUCCCGAACUACGCAUACCUGAUUCUCGUCUUUCGUGGCAGGAUACAUAGGCAACCCACAUAGGGUUCGGUCUUCCUAGUGAGUUUAGGUUCUUGGCUUCGCGGGGUCCUAGCCAAAUCUUGCAUGUCCAGCCACUUUUGGCCACAUCGACAAUUCUUGCAAAAUGGGGUCAUUUUCGCAAAAGUGAUUCAAUAACCCAUGUCUUAGGAUCUUGAGUCCACAACUAGGUGUCAUAUUACUUUAAGGUCCGUCCUUUUUGAGUUUGCAUCUUUAGCCACUUCUGGCCAUAUCGGUCAUUUUUGCAAAAUGGGUUAUUUCUGCAAAUUAAUUUUGGGUCAUGAUUAUUGGGAAUUGAAUCCAUAUAAGCCUAAGUGAGGUAUUUCCAUAUCUAAGUAGUCACCCUUGUCGAGUUUGCACUUCUAGCCAUUCUUGGCCACGUAGGUUAAUUUUCAAAAAUAGCUCAAUCGUGUCUUGCAUGUGUCCAAUAGGAAGUGUUGUGGUGUUGCAACGUGUCUUGAGUAAUUGAUCUAUUUGGUAUUAUUUUUCUCAUUCAGGUGUGGAUUCAUUUACCAGGACUCGAGCAUGACAGAUACCCAGGACCACUGCAUUCAGGAGCUGCUUAAGGAGCUCUUUUAUAUUAUGAGUCUGUUUUUAUGUUUGUCUUUCCCUUUGUAUCAUGUCUAGUAGUUUUGAGUCUUUUAGGUGGUGUAAGAUUUUGUUAAGUCUUUUAUCAUCGUACUUUCCAUUUGUAUUUGAAAACCCAAAAAAAAAGUAAUAAAUGAAAAAUUCAAAAAGAUUUUUAGUUUAUUUGUUCAUUACUUUUUUCCAGAACUACGCUUGAUCUGAUUCAUGAGGGACAUGAUACGUAGGCAACCUACAUCAGGUUCGAUCGAAUCAUUUUUCUUGAAAACAAAAAAAGAGAGAAAAAAGGACAAGAAAAAAAAGAUGGAAUUGUGGAUGUGAGAAAUGAGAGAGAGAAAAGAGUGACAAUUAAAAAGAAAAAGAGAGGAAGGAAAAUGAGCAAGCCAAGAAGUAUUAGAAAAGAAAGAAAAGAGAAGGUUGAAGUGAACAAAAUUGGGAUGAUGCCAAAUUACCUUGUGACCCUCGAAGUCAUUCUAGAACCAUUAAUUGUUGCUAGGGACAUUGCACGCAAUGUGAUAUUUCUAUUUGAUAAAUGUCCUAACGCUAACAUGUUGGCUUUGUUUUGCUCCUUUUUGUUACUUUCAUUAUAACAGAGGGUGGUUAGUUUGUGGCACUUUGGUGAUUUGUCCAUACAACACAAGGUCAAAAUGCAAGGAAACCAUCGCUGGCAAAGACUUGGACAUAAGAGUUGUUAACCCCUCGAGGGAGAUUGUGGAGUCGGAAUCUAAAUUGACAAAGGAGGUCCAAAGGUUAAAACAACAAAUGUCUGAAAUGUGUCAAGCAUGUGCCAAUGGCCAAGGACCACCCCUUUCUUAUGUUUUCCAAGAGUUUACACCCGCCUCGACUACUACCACUCCGGUUUCAUUGUCUGAUCAAUUCUAUCCAUUUAGGUUCAGUCUGUAUCCCAAUUGUCGACUAUAGCUAGAACUUCUGUUGUGCACUCCCAAAGUGUGCUAUUGACAACCAGUCAGACAACCACAGUUAUGCUUGUCUUCACCAUCCCACAGCCGACAGUGGUGUAGAGGAAAACUCAUCAGUCAUAAUUUUCUACCCAGCAAGAACAAUACCACUCUCCUGAGUACCACUUUUACCUAUUUGAUUUUCCUGCAAAGAUUGAGAAGCCUACCCGAAAGAUAGCACAAGAAGAAAUAACCCAAAGACUGAAAAGCUUAGAAUAACAGUUGAAAACAUACAAGGGCUGGCAGGUCAGAAGAGUAUUGCAUUCAAGGAUCUAUGUAUGUUCCCCGAUGUUCAUUUGCCACUUGGUUUCAAGACUCCCAAAUUUGAAAAGUAUGAUGGACAUGGAGACCCCAUAGCCCACCAGAAAAGGUAUUGCAAUCAACUAAGUGGUGCGGGAGGAAAUGAAGAAUUACUAAUGGCUUAUUUUGGGGAAAGUCUUACGGGUGUAGCUUCCGAAUGGUUUAUGGGUCAAGACACAUCUUGCUUAUAUGUCUGGUAUGACAUGGUCCAGGCCUUUGUCAAACAGUUCCAAUAUAACAUUGACAUCGCCCCGGACCGUAGAAUAAGAAACCAACUGAAAGUUUCAAGGAAUAUUCCCUUAAAUAGAGAGAACAAGCGGCUAGAGUUAAGCCACCUGUGGAUGACCACGAGCUAAUCACUGUCUUCCUUCAGGAUCAAGAGUCUGAUUACUUUCAAAACAUGAUGUCCGCAAUGGGCAAAUCAUUCUCGGAAGCUGUCAAAAUGGGAGAAAUGGUAGAGAAUGGCCUUAAGUCAGGCAAAAUUAUAAGUCAAGCAGCUCCCAAAGCUGCAACUCAGGCUGUCCAAAAUGAAUCUAGUGAUUUUAGUGGCACGAAUGAGAAGGUUGAAGAAAUUAUGAUGACGUCAAGGUCGAGAAGAGGUCAUAGAAGAACAAUCGAAGGCAUGACCAACCUUGUUUGUUUUUUGACGAUUCCCUUGAGAACCCACAAUACUCUGUUGCUUUACCCCAGUAUGUUGUCCAGCCACCAAGACACCCUAGAAGACGAGCACUAGCACCGCAGAACCUCCACCAGCCUCCACAAAAUUUUCAAGUGCCCAUAACCCACAUGCAAGCUAGGGGUAUAGAGGUAAAAAGGGUUGAAAGAUAAUUUUACACCGAUAGGAGAGUCCUAUGCAAGCUUGUUUGAGAAAUUGAAGCAUUAUGACCUGAUUGCACCUAUUCCUCCAAAUCAUGUGGACCCGCGUGCAAGAAGCUUUAACCCUUCUAAAAGGUAUGAAUACCAUUCCAAUGCCCAGGGGCACAAUGUCGAAAGUUGUCGAGAUUUGAAAAGAGAAAUAGAAAGAAUGAUUCAAGAAGGGAUAAUUGUGAUCCAGGACAGUGACACCCAGAACAUCGCGCAGAAUCCUUUACCUGUACAUGAUGAUGCACAUUUUGUGGGGAGGAUGCGUGGUGACACGGAGUAUGAGAAUCCUCUUGGAAACUUGCUGACUGAAGUUAAUGAUAUUGAAAUUGGUGAAGGUCCCAUUAAUUUUGAUGUGCAACCCAGUGGCUAAGAUGUCGAGCUUGGUAAUUAGAAAAACUCUUCUUUCUUGGCUAGCCAGGAAAGAGUUUUGGUGGUUUAUUUUGUUGUCAUUUCUGUUGUCCGGGUUAUUUCAGGGUUGUAAUCCAGACAUUGUCUUGUUGGCUCAAACCCUUUUGCUUCUUAUUUUCCUAGUUCGUUUAGUGGUAGUAACUCGUCUAGUGUUAUCUAGGAUUGUUCCAGGGUUGUAACCCAUGUCUAUUUUUCUUGUUUUGUUCAAACCCUUUCCACCAUCUGUCUAAUGCAAUCUCUUGUUUUCUGUUAGUUCUAGUCAGUUUUUGUUUAGGUCAAUUUUUCUUUUAUAGUCCUUCUCAUGCUGACUCUAGUGACAUGAUACGCACACAUAAUUCUCAGCCUGAUCUUGAAAGUUAGUCUAAUCAUGAAGCAAUGACACAGUUUUAAAUAUGAUAAAGGGAUGCGUUUGAGGAAACAAUUAAAGAUUCACGCAUUCUGAUAUGACCUGAACUUUGAAUUGAGUGAAACUGAGGCAGUAAAUUCGGGAAAUCAAGAGGUUGAUAAGAGCAUACAACAAGGAAAUGUCUCUCAAGUAGUUUGAGGUAAAUCAGUUAGUGCUGAAAUGCAUUCUUCCACAUCAAGAUAAGGUUGAGUCUAGUCUGCUUCGAACUGGCAAGGGUCAUUCAUUGGGACAAAGGUAUUGCCCAUUGGCACUUUUUGUUUGUGUUGAUGCCAUCGAUAGAUACUAUGUCUGAUUUGUUUACUUAUCUUCAAUUGCAUGUUUGUACUUGACAUUUUUAAGUUUGGUAUGACGAAGGUGUUUUAUUUUGCUAUCCAAACACUUUUAUCCUUUGCUACCCCUUUUGAGCCCUAAUUUUUUGCUUCAUACCCCUCUUUUGGAAUCAGAAGUAAAGUUAGGAAUUAGAAAAGAAAAGAAAAAGAGAAAAAGGAGAAAAAUAAAGAAAAGAGAAAAAAAGAAGGAAAAAAAGAAAGAAAGAAAAAAAGAGGAAAUAAAGAAAAGGAAAAGAAAACAACAAAAUAGUCCAACUUUGUGUUUGAACUAUGGUCGACCUGAUUCUUGUCACCUCAAGAUACGUAGGCAGCCUUACGGUUCGGUCACAUAAAAUAAAUUAUUUCAUAAUCCCCGAAGUCAAGAGUGGGGCAAUUUUCUUAGAAAUCCCAUCAAAGACAAUAGAAAUAAAAAGCAAAAAAUAAAUCCCCAAACUCCAAGAAACUGGGGCAGGAGUUUUAAUUUUACCAAAAGAUCUGAUUCCAAAAGUUGUAUUUUUGAACCCUUUCAUCUUAAACUAUUUUGAACCUUCAUGUCACCCUUUCUUUCCAACCCUGUCCAAAGGCCUACAUUACAGUCCAAAGAAAGACCUUCUGACCAAUAUUUGAGGAUGUCAAAUCAAGUAUGUGACGAAAGUAUGAUCUUCCUGNNNNNNNNNNNNNNNNNNNNNNNNNGAGAGUCUUAUCGGUGAAAACCUUCAUGGGCACCGUAAGGCGACAGUGAGUUGAGAAAAGAGCAAAAUGAGAGAGGCUUGAUGGUGAAAACCCUUCAGGUCACCACAAGUCAACUGAGGAUUGUGGAUCAAAUAGGACAAUUGAAGUGCUGAAGCCCAAUUUCACAGCAAAGAGGUACAACAAGAGUUAAAUAUUAGACUUGCUUGAGAGAUUAGGCCACUUAAUCAAAAGGUGUAUGUCAUGGUCAUUAGAGUUGGUAUCCACAACUGAUAAGUUUCUACUUUGUAAUUUUCUUGUUAGGUAUCAUCUCUUUCCCUUGUCCCUUAUUUUGUUCCUCUUGUUUUGUUUAAGUCUCUUCUUGAGUCUGUUGGGUCAGAAUAAGUGAUAAAUGACUUCAAAAUUUAAUUUGGCUAGCAUAUCAAAGUGGCAUAAGUCAGGGAAAAGUGGUAUGUGCACUGAGUUGGUAACAAUCAACAUGCAUUGAGAUUCAGGUGAAAUGCAAGGGUUCAGUAAAUGUCAACUCAUGAGAAAAAUACAACAAAUGGAGGAUAUUAGGAUCAAAUGGAGCAGAGGUGGUUUCUGUGAUAAGGGUCGAUAGAAAAUGGGUAGUCGAUAACAGGCAAGGUCUUCCAAGUUGAAAUCAAAGUUAUCUUGGCAAGUGCAAAAGCAGCCGUCUUCAAGGUCAAGGCCAAAAACUAACCACCACAUUUAAACUCACAAGUUUUCUUUGUUUGAAACAGGAACAAAGUAGUGAAAGCAAGUGGGUUUAAAAAAAAGAAAAAAAAAAGAAAAGAAAGGGAAAAAAAGAAGAAGAGAAGAGCCGAUAAAGGGAAGUUUCUCAAAUCUUUGCCCUUACCUGUCUUGUUUGUGUGCCUAAGUUGUUGCCAUUGCUCUUCACAUUUUUCCUCCUAGGAUAAAAAGUCCUAGUCUUAUGGAUUUUCCUCCCAAUCAAAUCUUAGUCUGAUGAAUUUUUCUCCUAAGAUAGAAAACCUAGUCUGAUGAAUUUUCUCCUAGGAUCGAAGUCUUAGUCUGUUGAACCUUUCUCCUAAGAUAAGAAACCUAAUCUGAUGAAUUUUCUCCUUGAAUCGAAAUCUUAGUGUGAUGAAUCUUUCUCCUAAGAUAACAAAAAGGGACCUAGUUUGAUGAACUUUCUCCUAGGAUCAAAAUCUUAGUCUGAUGAAUCUUUCUCCUAAGAUAACAAAAAGGGACCUAGUCUGAUGAACUUUCUCCUAGGAUCAAAAUCUUAGUCUGAUGAAUCUUUCUCCUAAGAUAGAAAACCUAGUCUGAUGAAGUUUCUCCUAGGAUCAAAUCUUAGUCUGAUGAAUUUUUCUCCUAAGAUAGAAAACCUAGUCUGAUGAAUUUUCUCCUAAGAUAGAAAUCUUAGUCUGAUGAAUCUUUCUCCUAAGAUUACAAAAAAAGGAACCUAGUCUGAUUAAUUUUCUCCUAGGAUCAAAAUCUUAGUCUGAUGAAUCUUUCUCCUAAGAUAAAAAACCUAGUCUGAUGAAUUUUCUCCUAGGAUAGAUUUUUAGUUUUUCUUAAGUUAUUAUUCUUUAAUUUUCUGGAAAUCAGCGGUCCCACCCGGAGAAUAGGGUCAGUUUUUACUUUAGACAAGCUUAGUUUAUAGUUUUCCUUAAGCUCAAUCUUAAAUCUAGGAGACGCACUUCCUAGUCUGGGCCAUUCAGGUUCUAUUCUUAGCAAACACACUUGCUAGUCAAAUAUUCUUGGUUUGAUUCACGGGACGCACAUCCCAGUCAAGUCUUUAGUUUUACUCUCAUCAUUGUAUCAAUAGUAUAUGUGAUUUACAGUUUUUCUAAUAACUCACAAAUCUUCCUAGUGCAAACUGGGGCAGGAAAUUUUAUUUGUUUUAUUGUUUUGAUUGCAGGCACCUACUUGGAGAACGAGGGAAGACAUUUCAGAGUUCAUUUUAGAGUCAUUUCAAGUUUCAAGUCAGUAGCAGACACCCACCUGGAGAACGAGGGAAGUUAUUUCAGAAUUCAAUUCAAGUUAGAAGUAGCAAAAGCUCGCGGCUAGAAUGUGAGUCAACAGUCCGAGAUGAUCAACAGAAGUAAUCUCAAUCCAGAAUAAAAAAACAAAAAAAAGAAAAGAAAGAGGAAGUGAAUCCAAAAUGCAGAAGUUGAGACAAGAGGUGGAUUGCUCAAGACAUGACUGAAGUCACAAGCAUGGUGUGUCCGGUUUUGAUCCGAAAAGCUGAAGAAGAAUGAACUAGCACCUACAGCUAGCAAGCGUCAAGGUUCAAAUCUAAAGUCUGCAUGAAGAACCAUUCAAGACUCAAGAUCAAGUUUCAGAAGACUUAUAGAUAGGAAUCUUGUAACUCGUAGUUGACAGACUUAGUUAAUCUUUUUCAUUUUUUGAUUUUGAUGUAACAACAGGACCGCAAACUGGAACCUCGACCGGCUCUCCACCUCAAUAUACUCCAUCACCUCAUUCACUUCUGAACUACACAUGGCCUGAUUCCUUUAUUGCCAAGGAUAUGUAGGCAGCUCAGAUACCAGGGCUCAGUCACAUUCUCUUCCUUUCUCUUAGUUCUUGGUCUCUUUAAAUAAGAGUCGGGUCAAAAAAUCUGUCUCGUCGUUCUUUGUCUUAAAACUCUUCGUAUUUCCAGUCAAAGAGGGGCAGCUGUAGACAUGUAAUUUUUGACCCUCCCCAAGAUUUUAUGCAUUUUAGUGUUAAAUAUUUAAUUUAGGUCUAAUAUAGCUAUUUCAACUAGUUUUGACUCAUUUAUUUUAUUUUGUCACAAAAACAAAAAUUAAAAAAAAAAUAUUUUUCUUUUAUUUAGCUAAUUAAUAUUUCAUCUAGUUAUAUAUAGUUUAUCUUACUUCCUAUAAGGUGAAAAAUCACAAAAAAAGAGAGAGUCAUAUUUUUGUUUUGCAAAAGAUAAAAAGAAAAGCUUUAUAAAAUACAUCUCAUUUGGUUUAGUAUAAUAUUUGAGGAGUAGAUUUUAGUAAAUAAUAUCUUUAUUGAGUAACUUUUUUUUUAUUUCUAUUUAGAAUUAUUUGGAUUAUCUUAAAUAGUAUGUGACUAUAUAUUCAAUUAAUUGAUUUUGUUACUUUAUAUUAUUUUUCAAAAGAAAGAAACAAAAAAAAACGACAAAAUGAAAGAAGAGGAACGAGAAAUGCCAAAGCAAAAAUACAAAGGAAACAAAUGAAUUUAAGUGAUCGUCACUCAUUUUUGUCUUAUUUCUUUCCUAUUUUCCCAUAUCCCUCCUUCCAUUUUGUCCUUCCCAUAUCCUUUUCUUUAUUUUACCAAUAAAAUCUUGACACCUCACCCUUAAUUCAAUCCCUCAUCUAACAAAUUAAUCAAUUUCUACAGGUCAGCCAAUUUCAUAAAUACAAAUACUCACCACGUCACUUACACAAUUGGGGGAAUGCACUCAUUUCUGAUUAUGCCCACAGUACAUGUGCGCACUUGGGGACUCUUUUUUCUUUUUACAAGGUACUCUCACGUGACUCAAGGGAAGGGACCCUAUUCACAUUUUAUUUGUUUCUCGGGAACCAUUUUGAGGAAGCUCUAGAAUUUCCACUAGUAUAUAAAAAUAGAAGAUUAGGACGAACCCUAAGGACCGAGGAGCUCAACGGCGGCAGCAUAUAAGACCAUAGAUACAAUGUCUAUUUUGGGGUUUUCUCCUUCAUGAGCAUAUACAGUAAAGCCACUACGGAAACACCUUGAAUUGCCACCUAAAUUCCACAGUCUUUCACAUCCCUGCACCAAUGUUUCCUUCCUCCAAAUUCUAGCCAAAAGAAAAUGAUCUCCAUUUGAAUGAAAAGUUAAAAAGCACUCCGAAUUCCACUUCCAAAAGAAGCUGAGAUUUCAUUUUGUUGGUUUAAAAUUCUGAUCAAUUUCCGGGAUGAGAUUUGAGAUUGAGGCGCGGUCAACAGGUGAUCCGUUCGAGAUUUUCGAGUUCUGGGUUCGUUUACGGACUGAUUUUCGGUUCAUGUCCAAUAGUUGUUGCUGUUUGCCACUCUAUCUAUUUCCCGUCGACGGAUUUUUCCUCGCUUGAUCGAGUGUAAAGCUGUUUUGGGGCAAUUAUUGAAAAGCUACUCAAAGGUACACUUCAUUUCUCAUCUCAUAUUUGUCUUAUAUUAUGUUUUGUUUUUGUUUUAUAUUUUAGAGUUACAUUCCUUGGUUCAUUAUUUUGUAUUGAUCUACUUCAUGUUGAUUUACUGUCAUCUCUUGAUUAAAACUAAUGCAUGAAGAUUAAGGGUCUAAAUGCUUCGGGGAAUUUAAGUUAAAAAGAAAUUGAAAGGACUUGGAUAUGUUUGGGUUAAUCAGCAUGGUUAAUUAAGAAAAUUGGACUUUAGAUAUUUUAUUAGUUUUACGAUUAUUCGCUAGGAACAUGUUUUAGGCCGAUCAUACUUGGGUAGGCAAGCCUUAAGAUUUUAUUAGUUUUGACGCGAGAGGUCGUUUCCUUAGCUAAAUUUAUCCAGGGAAUGCCCCGAAGGAUUUGUAUAUAUUUUAUUCCAGGGUAUGCCCCGUAGUAUCUUGUAUUUGGAGGCCGAAAGUAGAACUCGUAGUAUUUUUAUUUUUAUUUUUAUAUUCAUUUUCAUCUAUUUAGGCGGGGAGGACCUCGAGCCUCCUUUGCGUUUAUUUUCUUUUUUCUGUGUUUUCUACCUCAAUUCGAAUAUUUUAAAAGCCGAUUAGAUCAAGUAUGCAACCGUACUAGUUAAGGGACUUGGGGAGUGCCUAACACCUUCCCCCGAGUCAAAUGAACCCCUUACCCGAAUCUCUGGUGCAGACUUAGUUUUGGAGUCCAAAGUGUUUUAAAAGGAAAAAAUUAUUUCUAAAAAAUGGUGACCUGACACACCGAAACCAAUGUUAGGUAGCGACUGAAAAAUCCUUUUGAAUACAAUUUUGUCACUUUUUAAUUAAAAACCCCUUUUGAGCUUACAAAUCCUUUUAUUAUUUUAAUAGGGUUAGUGAAGUUGUAAAAAAGGGGUGUGACAACCGUUACCCUCAUCUUUUCACUACUUCAAGUAUGUCUCUAUGCUCGUUCGAGGACUAAUGAAUGUUUAAGUGUAGGAGGAUAUGACGACCUGGCCGGUCGUCUUAAGAAUUUACGCCCCAAUCCCCCAUUAACUACUUUUCCCAAGUUUAUUUCUGCUAUUUUGAUUUGUCGGGAUGUUCGAUUUUAAGUUUCAGAGAGUUUUGGGACACUUAGUCCCUAAAUAAUAGCUUUAGUUUGGAAAUCUGAUGGUUCCUUUAGCUCCGUUGAAGGAUUUUGGGCUUAGGGGCGUGUUCAGGUUGUAUUUUGGAGGUCCGUAGCUAAUUUAGGCUUGAAAUGCCGAAAGUUGAAUUUUUGAAGUUUCCGGUUCGAUAGUGAAAUUUUGAUUCGAGGGUCGGAAUGGAAUUCCGAAAGUUGAAGUAGCUCCGUAGUGUUUAAUGUGACCUGUGUGCAAAAUUUCGGGUCAUUCGGACGAGGUUUGAUAGACUUUUUGAUCGAAAGCGUAUUUUUAGAGUUUUUGGAAUUCUUAGGCUUAAAUCCGAAGAAACAUAGGUGUUUUGAUGUUGUUUUGAGCAUUCCGAAGGUUAGAACAGGUUUGAAUGAUGUUUUAGGAUUGGUUGGCAGGUUUGGUUGAGGUCCUGGGGUCUCGGGUGUGUUUCAGAUGCUCAACGGGUCAUUUUGGACUUAGAGAAUUGCAGAAAAAUAUUGCAGCAGUCAGUUCUGGUUUCCUUCUUCGCGUUCACGAGUGGGGUCUCGCAUUCGCGAAGAGGAGCUGGGGCUGGUGAGGAAGCUUACGCGUUCCCGAGGCUGUGGUAUUUGUGCCUACGCGUUCGCGAAGGCAGUCUCGCGUUCGCGUAGGAGAAGAGAAAUGAUCAUCGCGUUCGCGGUUAGCCUCGCGUUCGCGAAGAAGGAAAUACC
rnacentral:lncRNA from 1 species